rnacentral:rRNA from 1 species
UACGAGGGGGGCAAGCGUUGUUCGGAAUUAUUGGGCGUAAAGGGUGCGUAGGCGGUUUGGUAAGUCUUAUGUGAAAUCUACAGGCUCAACUUGUAGUCUGCAUGAGAAACUGCCGGGCUUGAGUAUGGGAGAGGUGAGUGGAAUUCCUGGUGUAGCGGUGAAAUGCGUAGAUAUCAGGAGGAACACCGGUGGCGAAGGCGGGUCUCUGGGCCGAUAUUGACGCUGAGGAGCGAAAGCGUGGGGAGCGAACAGG